rnacentral:rRNA from 1 species
UACGUAGGUGGCAAGCGUUAUCCGGAAUUAUUGGGCGUAAAGGGUGAGUAGGCGGCUUAGAAAGUCCGCAGUUAAAGACGGUGGCUCAACCACCGGAUGCUGUAGAAACUGAUAGGCUAGAGUGCAGGAGAGGUUAACGGAAUUCCAUGUGUAGCGGUGAAAUGCGUAGAUAUAUGGAGGAACACCAGUGGCGAAGGCGGUUAACUGGACUGAAACUGACGCUGAGGCACGAAAGCGUGGGGAGCAAA